rnacentral:rRNA from 1 species
AUUGAACGCUGGCGGCAGGCUUAACACAUGCAAGUCGAGCGAGCGGCGGACGGGUGAGUAAUGUCUGGGAAACUGCCUGAUGGAGGGGGAUAACUACUGGAAACGGUAGCUAAUACCGCAUACCAUCAGAUGUGCCCCGAUGGGAUUAGCUAGUAGGUGGGGUAAUGGCUCACCAAGGCGACGAUCCCUAGGUGGUCUGAGAGGAUGACCAGCCACACUGGAAAGGAGACACGGUCCAGCAUCAUACGGGAGGCAGCAGUGGGGAAUAUUGCACAAUGGGCGCAAGCCUGAUGCAGCCAUGCCGCGUGUGUGAAGAAGGCCUUCGGGUUGUAAAGUACUUUCAGCGAGGAGGCGUUACUCGCAGAAGAAGCACCGGCUAACUCCGUGCCAGCCGCCGCGGUAAUAC